UACGUAGGGGGCAAGCGUUGUCCGGAUUUAUUGGGCGUAAAGAGCGUGUAGGCGGUUUGGUAGGUCCGUUGUGAAAACUCGAGGCUCAACCUCGAGACGCCGAUGGAAACCAUCAGACUAGAGUCCGGAAGAGGGGAGUGGAAUUCCUGGUGUAGCGGUGAAAUGCGCAGAUAUCAGGAAGAACACCCGUGGCUAAGGCGGCUCUCUAGUACGGGUA
rnacentral:rRNA from 1 species